AAGUCGUAACAAGGUUUCCGUAGGUGAACCUGCGGAAGGAUCAUUAUUGAAAUAAACCUGAUGGGUUGCUGCUGGCUCUCUCGGGAGCAUGUGCACACUUGUCAUCUUUAUAUCUCCACCUGUGCACCUUUUGUAGAUCUGGAUAUCUUUCUGAAUGCCUGCAUUCAGGUUUGAGGAUUGACUUGUCUUUCCUUACAUUUCCAGGCCUAUGUUUCUUCAUAUACACCAUGUAUGUUAUAGAAUGUAAUGAAAAGGGCCUUUGUGCCUACAAACUUAUACAACUUUCAGCAACGGAUCUCUUGGCUCUC
rnacentral:misc_RNA from 1 species